rnacentral:rRNA from 1 species
CCUACGGGUGGCAGCAGUGGGGAAUAUUGCACAAUGGGGGAAACCCUGAUGCAGCGACGCCGCGUGAGCGAAGAAGUAUUUCGGUAUGUAAAGCUCUAUCAGCAGGGAAGAAAAUGACGGUACCUGACUAAGAAGCCCCGGCUAACUACGUGCCAGCAGCCGCGGUAAUACGUAGGGGGCAAGCGUUAUCCGGAUUUACUGGGUGUAAAGGGAGCGUAGACGGUUUGGCAAGCCUGAAGUGAAAGCCUGGGGCUCAACCCUGGGACUGCGUUUGAAACUGUAAAGCUGGAGUGUCGGAGAGGUAAGCGGAAUUCCUAGUGUAGCGGUGAAAUGCGUAGAUAUUAGGAGGAACACCAGUGGCGAAGGCGGCCUACUGGACGAUAACUGACGUUGAGGCUCGAAGGCGUGGGGAGCAAACAGGAUUAGAUACCCUAGUAGUC